AAAAAUGAAAUAUAGAUUUCAAUUCCGAGACAAUCAGUUUUAUACGAGAUUUUUGAUAUGCCUCGAGAUUUUCGAUCGGAAAUAUUACAGAAAAGGCCGUUAAGCUCGUGCACAGAAAGGGCCCAAAGGAUCCUUGUAUAACUUAUUUACCAACGUUCGCAUAUAGAGAUAGAUUCGGUAAACUAACGGGUUUGGCGUGUACACACGAAGGAAGGCGCAAGAUUGCAACGGGGAUUAAAAUAUUUCAAAAGGCUAGGGUGGCCAGGUUUUCGGCCAAACGCAAGAGUAAUGGUUCUUUUAAAUUUCUAAGCUGACCUAGAUACACGCGGGUCGAGAGACAGAAGGUGUGUACACGAGCCACUCCUGUGAUCUUGCUUGAAGCAAG